UUCAUAGUGUUAAAAACAUGCUAACCUGUUGUGGUCUUUCUGAAUUCCUUUUAACAGGAAAAGGAAUUAUUAUUAUUUUUCUGCAUUAAAAACCAGGUGAAGGCUAAGAGCUGGCAUUUUCCAAUGGGUGCCAUGAGUCUACUGAGGGGUGCCUGAAGUCCAAACAGGUUGAGAACCACUGCUCUACUGGCUUUAGUCUGUGUUCCUGAUUUUGCUUUGCAAGUGCUCCAAUUUCUAAUCUCAGACUUAAUCAUACUUGAUUCGCUGUGAAUCUUUGUCUGUCAUCUUGUGUUUCUUUCCCACUAAUUCACACAACUACAUGCACAGGUUCCCUGCUCUUACUCAAUUUUCUCUGCCUUAGAUAAAGAGAUUAAUAGAAACAUGCCCACUCACUCUGUAGGUUUGCGUCUCUAUAGUCAACCUAACCAGGGUGAAAAGAUAUUGCUGUCUUUGGGAAAAGAUGUAGAUGCUGUUGAAACUGACAGUUAAAAAGUUACCUGCCAGCUUUGGUUUGCUUUGGGGCAUGAAACUAGCUGUCUGGCUUUUGUGUAUGCAUCUUAAGUUUCCUCUCUUUAAUCAUUUCUCUUAAAGGGUGGCUGGAUACAUCUGUUAUUGGAAGCCUCAUCCAAAAUCAAAGUAUUGUUAGUUUGCAGUGACGAGCUUUAGAAAGAAUAAUUUAGCCUUUUUACUGUUGAUUACACCUAUUCCAUAAAAUACAAAGAACAGCAAACAUUACAGACUAAGCUAGCAUUUUUCAUUUUACGCCUUCCCCUAUUACAACCAUUACCAUUGACAUUAUGCACAGAUUUUCACAAAGGUGACAUUUGUUUAAAACAAAACAAAAUACGUGCUAGCUAACCUUUUUUUUUUCCAGAUACAGUACUAUAUUAUGUGAUGAUUCUGGCUGCCUAAACUUGCUGUUUUAAAAAAAACUGAGACUUGUGGGUCUGUAGUCCUUGAUUAUGCUUGAUAUUUAGGGAUUUUUGAAGGUGUUCCACUAAGGUUUUUACCAGCUUCACUUUGGGAUAGCAGCAUUUAUCAUUAGUGGCAAAAUCAUGUUGAUGAAGUCCACACAGUGUACACACUGCACCAUCACAUGUUUUGUACAUAGGAUGACACAUUUCACAGAAAAGAUAGGAAAUGUCUUGGCAAGCUUUUUUUCCCCAUUAUAAUGUUCUAUUUAUAAAGCUGGGUAACUUAUUUAGGGUUUGAGAGUCUCAUCAAAGAGGACUUGGAAGCCAAAGUUAUAGCUAAUAACUUUAGAUAAGUAUAAAAAUCACUCUAAAAUGUUAAAUAUUCCUCAGAGCGGGACAAGUGCUGUGUUGUCAGGAAGGAAGUGUGAAUCUUCUCCUUUCCCUGGGGAUAACAUUUCCCACUACAAAAGAUCUUUAAGGUGCCAGGCCUUAAAAUAUAUCACAGAUUGUUUUAUCCAGGCUUGUAUGUGCUUGUCAUCACCUUGUUAUCAAAGUGCUUUAAAUAUUUGAAUGAAAUGGCAAGAGGACAUGGAUUUUUCCAUUUUUCUCAGAAGCUGAAUGGGUUAGACCUGCAUUUCUUUGUUGUUUCCUCAUUCUGAGGGCAGGCAGGAUAGCAGGGGACCAGCUGUGCGUCUGUGCACACACAUGGGUAGGAGAGACUGGUUAUCCUAUGGGCAAGCCAUAUCAAGAGGCAGGUUUCAUAUUUCGACUGGGAGCUGAUAAGAUUCAGUGUCACAUUCAGCCCUGGGCCAGCUAUCAAGGAAUCUGCUUUAGGAAGAACUAAGAGGACUAUUUCCUUCUGCUCCCAUCUACCCUGUGUUUUGAAAAUUUAUUUGUUCCCAAGGACCACAGGUACCAUUUAAUAGAUGGAAAUUCAAAAUUUCAAGUUCUAAAUGGGCAACACUUAAAGGAAGUUCUCUCUCAAGAACCAGGACUUCAAAUAGCACCAAGGCCAACAGCUUUGAACAGCACCCUCAUCACCUUUUGAAUACUAUCCUCACCAUGCCCACAUAUGGAAAUGGCAACAGUGGAGUGAGAGGUUUUGUGUUGUAUGAUAAGUGAAAGGCAGCCAUACAGCCACUAGGCCUGACCAUGAGGGAAAAAUAAAGAAAGAAAGAAAAUCACCCCACUGUAGUAGUCCUGGCUUUGGUGGCCAGGCAUGUUCUAGGCCAGUGAGGGCCAACCUUUUUGGCAGGAGUGCCACAAAUUAGGACUGCACUCUCACCACCUGCCACUCUGAUCCUCUUUCCCUGUCUGGUCUGCUGCUCUACUUUCUGCUCUAAUCUGUCACUGUGAUGCCUGUCCCCUCACUAAUCUGCUACAUGGCACUUGUGGCAAACAUUGCAGGUUGGCCUCUCCUGUUCUAGGCCAGUGGGGCAUGUCACAAGGUAAGCCCCGCAUCGUCCUUGGGUACCACUCCAAACCCUAUCCCUCUGCUCUAUUCUGCUCUCUAUCCCAUCUUCCCUGCCCAAUCUGCUGCUCUGCUUUCAGCUACCUGUCCUGUGUUCCCUGCCCUAUUUGUCACUGUGUUCCCUGCUCCCUCCACAAUCUGAUCUGCCACAUGUCACACAGAGGCAUGCAUGCUGCAGGUUGGCCACUCUUGUUUUAGGUCACCUCCCUUGAAUUUCAGAAAGUGGCACUGCUGGUGCUUCCCUGUGAUCAGCAGCUACAUAUCAGCCUGUUGGAGGCAUUCUCUGGAUUUCAGUAUUAUCCUUAUAUAGUUUGAGCACCUUCCAAUCUUUAACUGAAAGACAUUACUUGCACAAGGAUGUCUGUGGCUGUGAUGGGAGCCAAUCUCUUUCUCUGCCCACUAAGGCUUUUACACUGACUAAGUAAUGCAAGUUAGAGGAGCCCUUCCAAUUAGCCUUGCUGCUAAAAUGACCAAUCUAGCUUCACAGAUAUCCAAGGACUGAGACGCAUUAAAAAUCAAUCAAUCAAUCAAACAAACAAUCAAGCUUUUCACUCUCUGCCUAUAUACUUGUACUCCAACAGCAGUCAAGCAAUGCGCAGUAGCAUCAUAUUUAAUUCUCUAUUUUCUAAAAAUUAUUUGAGUCAACAUGUAUUUCAUCUCAUUUUUGCCUACUUGAUAUUGAAAGAGGGAAGAAGAGCCUGUGAGGAACCACACAAUGAUAACUCCAUUUAUCACAGCCAGUCAUCUGUAUUUCUCCAGUACAAAGGUACUAUCUUGGAACAUGAUAAAAUAUCAGCAUAUCUCUAAUGUAAAAGUCUAAGAAAGAUAAUCAUGCUUUCUUAUGAUAUUUAAUAACUCCGCCGUUAAAGGGGUAUUAUCAAGUAAGUUAGGUCCAAAAUUUAAAGCAGCUUAACAGUGUGCGUCACGGAAAGAGGAGGUAGAGAGACAAUGUCCCCCAAGUUCACAUUUAAAAACCUUGCCUUUCCUGUUUAUUUUAUUUCAAGUGGAAGAUGGUAAUCAUUAAGAAACAGCUCCUCAAGGAAACGGGCCAAGGACUUCAGACAGAGCUCGACUAAUUUCUACUAGCUCAGGUUCUGGCCACUAAUUGUUUGUGUUGGAUACAUACUUGUUUUGUACAGAACUGCUUGCCACAGUUAACAGAGCACACAGGUUAGCCAAAAAAGGGUGCAAGAACUCUACUGGCAGUACCAAGGGUGCUGAUCCACAGAUGAGGAAGUAAACAAAGGUGAAUCAGAAUGGACAGUGGCGGGAGAACCAAUAUUUGCCAGAGAGAAAGGAGCUAAACCAGGGAUUUCAACAACAGAAGUAGCAAGGUGAGGGUGGGGGGGAAAUCCCAUUUUUUAAGCUCUUUGGAGGGAAAAAAAUAAAAUCAGAAAGGAAGAAAAAAGAAAAGAAUGUGUUUUAGGAAGGGUAUUUCAAAAGUUCUUUCAAUCAGUUAACGUUGAUGAUAAAAUGCACAAAAUUAAGGGAAAGACAACUUGAAAUCUAUGCACUUUCAAAGCACAUUCAAGUCAUUUCAAGUACUCCACCUCUCUUCAAAUCCUCUUGCCAAUUUGCAUGGAUUUAUAAAACUAUCCUUCACCACCACUAUGAGGGCUUAGUGCUUGAAAUAAGAUCAUCUGAUGAAUGAAGAACAGCUGGCUGAAUCCAAACCCAAGCAGACAGAGGUGAUACUACUGAGCAGACAAAAGCACUUGGAAGAAUUUGUGGCCACAAAGCUGUUUUCUUUGGCUGAUGACACAUAACUAUGAUUAGUUAUUCAGUCUAUAGUCUAGGAGUGCCCUUGGAUUCUUCUAUGACACGAGUUCUUACUUAGCUAGCCAGAGAUAAUAAUAAUAAAAAGAUGAUGUUACUUAUGAAUGCAGCUAGGAGACUGGGCCCUAUCCUGGUGAACAAAGACCUGGCAUCAGUUAUUCAUGCAUUCACUUUCAGCUGGGCUACAUGAGUGCAAUCUACCAGUGCAUAUACAGUCCAAUACUUAGGAAGUUCUACUACAGUACCACCUCUACAUCAGUUUGCCACAGAAUUUCAGAACAAGUUCUGGGGUUUGGUCCUUAAUUUUCAAUGCUCUGAAUGGUCUGGACCAGGUAGUCUAGGAUAUGGAUUGGCAACCUAUGACCCACAGGUUGAAUCUAUCCAGAAAGGGAUUGGAUUUGGCCCAUGAAGGUCUGAUCUGGUAUGCAUUUUACUAAAGGGUGCACUGAUUCCCAAAUGUCUGAUCUGGUCCAUGUUUUACUGAUAGUGUGGCAACUGCAUCCAGCCUCUCCAGUCAGCUGCAUCAGCCUAUGUAGACAUAUGUUCUUUCUUGCUGGGGCCUCUGUUUACUGCCAGUGGAGCUGCCAGAGGGGGAAUGGUGGCCUGAGGUACCAGCUGGGUUGCAAGCUGUGGCCCAUGUUUGCAAAAAGCUGCCGAGCCCUGAUCCAGGAUAUCACUUGAACCUCUGGGAUGGCAACCAUGGCUGAGAACUAUCUUUCCUUUGGCCCAAUAGUGUUCUCUACAACUUGUCUGUGUAAAAACUUGUCUGCAGGGAAGAGGGUUUUUCAAGACUGUAAAGUGAACUGGCUCCAAAACUAAGCAUCAUUACAAAAGCUUGUGCAUAGGCUUUUCAUAGACUUUAAUAGUAUUAAUCAUACGCAUUUCCACUUGGGGAAGUGGAGUCACAAACAAACUUCAGAGAGCUGCGACUACUGUUCUUUUUUAUUGGUAAGCAUGCUAGAAUGUGUGUGUAUGAUGAGAAUGUCUCAAAACCUAGCUAUUGAAAUAGGAAGUCAGAAUAUGGAAAAGUUUAAGAGCCAAUACAUGAGACUAUCAUAACAAUGGUAGGUAAUAAAAAUCACAGAUGUCUGACAUGGAAAGUGAGAGUGACCUUUAAGACAGAUGUGUCUUUUGAUCAAAAAUGCAACUGAGACAAGCUAAGGAAGAAAGAGAUUUUCAGUGUGCGCUCAUUCUGGUGUGCAGUUAUUGCUUGGUGCCUCCACGUAUUUUCCAUCAGGGCACGUGGUGCCUGAUGGAGAUAUGUAUUGUAUUGUGAAGUUAUCUCUAUACUGGAGAUAUUGUUGGCAGGAUUUGUGUCUUGUCACAGCAUAACCUGGAUCCUUUCAGUGCGUUUUGGGCUGUAGGAAGGUGGCUUCUGGUGAUGAGUUUACCGAGGUUCAGUGCUUGUUUGAAUUUACAAGCCACUUUUCACAGAUGAGCCUACGAACAGCACUCCAUCAACCUCAGAGGCAGUAGGUACAGAAAGUCAGCCAGUGAGGGCGUGCCUUAAUACACACACACGUCACAAGUUUUGCUUAUCAGCAACCUAAAGUACAGUUUCCCAGAAACCCCUGCGCCUAGCUCCUUGAAACCUGGCAGACUUCAGGGCCUCAGAAGGGGCUACCCUGCCUGCAGUUUUACCCUGCUGUGCCUUAACACACAUGUGACAUGAGUCUUGUUUGUCAGCAGUUUGAGAUGCAGUUUCCCAGAAACCCCUGCACCUAUGUCCUUGAACCUUGGCAGGCGAUGUGGCCUCAGCAAGGGCUACCAUGUCUGCAAGUUUCAUCCGAAACAGGCAAGAAAUGACGAAGGUAUAGGCAGUUUCAUGUUUCCCCAUUAUAGUCUAUGGGCAAAAUGUCAAAACAGCAUCCUGCGUGCCUGCCGCGUCUCCCAUCGUUACGUCAAGCUGAUGCACUGUCUCAUAGGGUCUGACACGAUCUGCUGGUCCCGUGACAUCUACAUGGAACACAUCACGAGCUACCACCAGUACAUCGACCCUACCAGACCGGACCCAGAGGGGACCGCCUGAACCCCCCUCUGCACCUGAUGGACUUCACCUCAGGAAAAAUCUUCAGCAAUGGACCACCCCGCUCCACCCAAAGAGGACCCCCGUGAUGAGACUCUAUAUGGACUGAGAAACAUUCUUCAACCUACUUCCUCCACCAUUGUGGACCAUUGUACAGGUCCUGCAAAAGGCAGUUGAAGAGAAAACAGAGCUGAAUGUCAAGUAGCAGGCAGUCAUCUGCAUGACCAGGGACAGAAAAGAGAAAAAGAGAAAGAGACCACGUUUAGUGAGAUCAUACCUCACACCCGCCUUUAAGAAAAAAAAGAAGCUUUAAACAGAGACCUGGAGGAAUAGCAACAGUUCAACAAAGGAAUUUACCUUAGUAAUCCUUAUAGUGGAAACAGAACUUGCAACAAAUUGGGCCAUCCUCUCCCACAGAGCCUGCAUUUCUAGCUGACGGGAGCCUGAACACCACUGCUUUCCUCUGUUGAUCCAAUCUACCUUGAAGGCUGAUACACUGCACUCUAUGUAUGUUCACCAAGUCAUUGCAACAGAUGUUAAAAAGUGAACGUAUUUCUAAUAAAGGUCACUCAACAUAUAAGAACAUUCAUUUCUAAUCAGCCUCAUUUCUAUUCAAUUUAACCAGGUAU